rnacentral:lncRNA from 1 species
UUUUUUUUUUUUUUUUUUUUUGGUUUUUCGAGACAGGGUUUCUCUGUGUAGCCCUGGCUGUCCUGGAACUCACUUUGUAGACCAGGCUGGCCCUGAACUCAGAAAUCCGCCUGCCUCUGCCUCCCAAGUGCUGGGAUUAAAGGCGUGCGCCACCACGCCCGGCUUAACAUAUUUUUACUUGGCAAAUGUAUACAGUUAUAUAGUAUAUUUUUGUCAUUUUUACCCCUGCUUCCCCGUUAACCUCUCCCAUUAUCUCAUUGUCUUCACCUUCAAUUUGUAAAAGGAAAUGGUGAAGCUGCGCACUCUGUAGAUCUAACAUAGGGGAGGCUGGGUAAGAUGGCAGGGAGAUCAUCUGGGCUAGAGGGGAGACUUUGUCUUAACUUUGGGGGCGGGGCUGGAGAGAUGGCUAUGAGCAUGUACUGCUCUUCCUGAGGGUCUGAGUGUGAUUCCCUGCACCCAUAUGAGACAGCUAACCGCUAACCCCAGCUCCAGGAGCUCUCAUACCUCUGUGGGCACUGCAUUGUGUGCGCAUACCCACCCACACGUAAUUAAUAGAAAGUUUUAAAAAGUAAAUCAUGUCUUGAACCUUUAAGAAGAAAAAGAAAAAGAACAAGGAAAAAGUACUCAUUAAUACACUUUAAACACCCCCCCCCACACACACACCUUUUUUGUUUGUUUGUUUGUGAGACAGGAUUUCUUUAUGUAGUUCUGGCUGUCCUGAAUUAGCUGUAUAGACCAGAGUAGACCAGGUUGUCCUUAGACUCAGAAAAAUCCUGUUGCCUCUGCCUCCAGAAUGCUGGGAUUAAAGGUGUAUACUACCUGGCAGAUUUUUUUCUUUUUCUCAUUUUUUAAUGACAGGGUUUUAUAGAUCUGAAGCUGAUCCGGGGUUAGAGGACAACGUGGAGGUUUCUUCUCGGCCUCUGCUGUGCCAGUCCUGGGACUUGGUCAGACUUGGCAGCAAGUGGCUUUACUUACGCUGGAGCCGUCCUGUUACACUGUCCAAACAAUUUUUUUUUUGCAAUUUUUCUUAUGAAAUAUUUUAGACAUAAAAUUGUAAACACUUAGUAUCUCCAUUGUCUUUUCUCAGUUUUCAGACAUCAUUUUGAGUCAUUUCUCAUUCUAAAAAAAUGAAAUUUUCACCAAGAUUAAAAAAAUUUUCUUAGAUGUAUUCAUUUUGUUUUAUGUGAGUGUAUGUGCACCUUGUGGAUGCGUGAUGCCUGCAGAGGUCAGGAUGGGGAACAUCUAGGAUAGGAGUUAGGGAUGGUUGUGAGCCACCAUGUGGGUGCUGGGAACCAAACCCAGGUCCUCUGCAAGGGUAGCAGGUGCUCUUCACCUCUGAGCCUUCUCCAGACCCCGCACCAAGAACUUUAAGGCAGGUUAUCUCUAUAUCCCUUGUCUCGUCUUGAACUGUGAUCUUCCUGUCUCAGCCUCCCUAGCACUGGGAUUACAGGCCCGUACCACCCAAAUCUGGCUCACGAAUACUAGUUUAGGAGUUGUGUUUUUAUGUUAGGGAUCAAAUUCACUGUCCUUUGCAUGCAGAGCUCUCACUGACCUACACCCUGGCCACUUUUGUUGUUUGCUUUGUGAUUUUGUGGAAUCGUUUUUCGGGGUUUAUAGGCGCUACUGCUGAGCUACUCUCCUAGCCCAGUAGUAACUGAUCUAUACCUAUACCUAUAUCUAUAUCUAUACCUAUAUCUACAUAUUGCUGUUUUUGUUUUUAUGAGACAGGGUCUAACUCUGUAUGUAGCCCAGGCUAGUCUAGAACUCACCGUGUACAUGUAGCCAGCCUGACCUCAAAUUGGUGGCAGUAGUGCCUCAGCCUUCUGAGUGCUAGGAUUGCACUGUGGCUGAAAGCUGCUCAUUGUUUAGUAGCUUCAUGGAGAUAGAAUUAAUUUGCUAUACUGUUCAGUUAUGUAAAAUAACAGCUUUCGGCAUGUUCAGAGUUGCGCAACUGUCUGAGUUUUCAUCACUUCUAAAGAACCCUCACACCAUUUGGCAACAGCAUUGCUCUUGUUUUUGAGAGAAAUCUCUUUGUAGUCUAGGCUUGACCUUUUGAUCCAUUUGCCACAGUUUUGUUGUUAGGAUUAUAGGUGUAAACUGGGCAGUGGUGGUGCACGCCUUUAAUCCCAGCACUUCGGAGGCAGAGGCAAGCGGUUUUCUGAGUUCGAGGCCAGCCUGGUCUACAGAGUGAGUUCCAGGACAGCCAGGGCUGUGGAUUCUAGGAUUCUAGGUGUAUGCCACUGUGCUUGGCAGUAACCAUUUUUUAAUCUUCACCCUUUCUUCUCCUCUUAUUCCUUCUCUUCCUUCUUCCUCCUCCUCCUCAUCUUUUUUUGGAGGGGGGGGCGUGUUUCAAGACAGGGUUUUUCUGAGUAGCCCUGGCUGUGCUAGAACUCAGUAGACCAGGAUCUCCAAAUUCACAGAGAUCCACCUGCCUCUGUCUCCUGAGUGCUGGCAUUAAAGGUGUGAGCCACCAUCCCUGGCUGAAUAAUGUUUUAAGCUUCCAUCAGGUGGACCUCGUAUUUCAUCUUCCCCAAGUAGCUAGACAGUAUAGACCCAUACUGCAGUAUCUGGCUUAUGUGGCUUAUUUUAAAGAUUAUUUUAAAUUACACGCACCACUGCCUGGUGCCUUUUAUUUCAAUAAUGUAAUUAUACUUCUAGAUGUAUAUGUGUGUUGUACAAUUCAGAGACUUUUUAUAAACUAUACAUUUAGUAUAGUAAUCUUUAUAUAAUAUACUAUAGUAUAAUUGAUGGGGAAUUGGCACUGUAAGUGGCUCAGGAUAACUUUCAAAUUAUCCCCUGCCUCCAUCUGUACAGGAUAACUUUCAAGUUAUCCCCUGCCUCCAUCUGUACACACAUAAAAAGUUUUUUUUUUUUUUAAAGAUUUAUUUAUUUUAUUUAUAUGAGUACACUGUAGCUAUCUUCAGACACAAACCAGAAGAGGGCAUCAGGUCCCAUUACAGUUGGUUAUAAGCCACUAUGCGGUUUCUGGGAAUUGAACUCAGGACCUCAGGAAGAGCAGUCAGUGCUCUUAACCGCUGAGCCAUCUCUCCAGCCUUGGCUCAGUGGUUAAGAGCACUUGUUGCUUUUGUAGGAGACAUGAGUUCAAUUCCCAGCACCUGCAUGGUAGCUCUAGAUUCUGGGUUCUGACACUCUCCUCUGACCUCUGAGAUACCAGGCACAUAUGUGUUACACAUAUAUACAUGCAGGCAAAGCAUUCAUACAUAAAAUAAGUCUAAACAUUUUAAUUGAUAGAGGAUUUCUAUAGAAAGUUAAAUUAGGUUCCAGUAGGAUCCUAGAUUUAAAGAGUGAAACUGACUAGAGCUCUUAUAGAUAGAAAGUUAAGAAGAGUGUUGAGUUGCUGAAAGAGUGAGUUAGGUGCCUAGGCGGGGGUGCAUGCCUUUAAUUCCCUAAAGGCAAACCUCUGAGAGUUUUAGGCUAGCCUGGUCUACAGAGUGAGUUCCAGGACAGCCUGGGCCACAUACC